rnacentral:lncRNA from 1 species
UACUUGUUUGUGUUACUCAGUGGUGUAAUCCUGGAUUGAUUGAUCAUACACUCGCCGCAAGUACUGCCAUUUGAUCUGUCGAUCCUUCUCGUGGUCGUUUAGGUAGAAUUGUUUCUUGAUAGUCUUUAAAUGUGCUCUAUGUCAUAUUAGAAAUGUUAUGAUCCUUAUAUACGAAUUUCACCAGGUAAGUGCAUGGCUAAAAGUUUGAGGUGGACGAAAGCUACCUCUUGAAUACUGGUGUAUCCGUAAAUAGUGAAAUAUGUCUUUUACUGGUGUAGCCAGUUAUUUAGCUUUUUUGCAUCGACAACUCUAUUGUAUUUAGGGAUCUCGAUUUGAGAAGAGUUGAAAGAGGAAUUUUGAGUACCUAUAGGUUGCUCAUCUUCCUCAAUGGAUGGUGGAUUUUCAUCCUCAGACAUAAGAGAUAGCUUUGCAACAGUUGUAGCUGGUGCUUGUGUUGAAAGCAUCACCAAUCGGAAGAUGAUAUCGAUGCGUUGGAAAAUCUUUUUCUCUAGUUAUGUGAGGUGUCCCUUUGGCUCAUUAUCCAUUGAGGAAGAACUAGCACUCAUACUCGUCUUUGCCCUUCGGUGUACUUGAAGCACAAAUAGCCUUUCUCCUGAUUGCUUGUAUUGCUCGCGCAUCUGAAUCAUAAACUUAGGCCCCUAUAGAUGUAGAGGACCAAAGCUCUGAUACCAACUUGAUCCGAUCGGAGAGAAGUUUUUUCUCAACCCGCUCAACUCGAAUUUCUCCAAAGAAAAAUUUAGAAGAUGGAAGAAUUACGAAAGUAGGGCUUAAGCUCCCUUUUCUUUCAUUAAUGAUAUAAACUUUUAUUUAUAAUGGUGAGGUCCGCCCUUGCACAAUUCGGGUCGGGUUCCUCUUUCUAAUUCUAAUAGGACUUUCUUUCCUAAAAUAGAUAUGACUAGUAGAAGUAAACUUGAAGAAGUUAAAAUUUUUCAAAAGGUAGAUCUCAAUUUCUACAUCAACUCUACUUUCUGUCGCUCCGCUUGAUUCUUCUCAAUUGAAGAUAUGCACGAUCAAAGUCUUUUCCGAAAAUAAAAAUUUUGAUUUGACCGGUC